rnacentral:rRNA from 1 species
CCCUUAGAUGUUCUGGGCCGCACGCGCGCUACACUGACGAAUGCAACGAGCUUAUAACCUUGGCCGAAAGGUCUGGGUAAUCUCCAAAUUUCGUCGUGAUGGGGAUAGAUUAUUGCAAUUAUUAAUCUUCAACGAGGAAUGCCUAGUAAGCGCAAGUCAUCAGCUUGCGUUGAUUACGUCCCUGCUCUUUGUACACACCGCCCGUCGCUCCUACCGAUUGAAUGGUCCGGUGAAGCGUUCGGACCGUGGCCUUUGGACGGUUCGCCGUCUGUUGGCUGCGGGAAGUUCGUUAAACCUUAUCAUUUAGAGGAAGGAGAAGUCGUAACA